rnacentral:lncRNA from 1 species
AUACUCUUAUGAGUAGUGGACCCUUACUACUCAUAAGUUGUUUUCGAUGAUGGAGCUUCCGAAUCGACGAUCCACUCCGUUAAAUAUGAUCUAGAGCAUUUAAAACUUCUAGAAAUUAAAUUUCAUAAUUUUUCGACAUCAUUUACCUUAUGAUCAAAAGCUCACAAAAUUGACAAUUUUUAACGGCCGGUAUGGGAUACUUGCUAGUUUAACGGUGGAAAAGAAUCGGAAUAGGUUGAAUUUUUGAUAGAAAAUUCUAUACACUACCUAGAUAAAGAUCAAUAACUCCGAUCUUAAAUUGAGGGAUCCGAUCA